CGAAGAACCUGCUUAGAAGUUGACCUUCUCCUGCUAAACCUUUGCCCCCUCCCAGCGUGGCCAUUGCUGCGGGAUGGGGGCAUUGCUGAGCACCCCCAGGGAACAGCCCGGCCCGGCAUCGCUCCGUCCCAUUGCUGUAGCGCUGAAUCAAAGCCCUCUUACAGUAACCGCCUCUGAUUGAGAACAUCCACUCACCAAAGGCUUUCGGUGCUCUGGUGGGGGAAGAAGAAGAGGAGAAAAACCCCAAACCCGUCCAUACACAGUGCCCCUGCAGCUGCCCCACACACCGUGACCCCAUAGCUGUGGGGUUCUGGUGCUGUCGGUGUGUCUGGCAGAGGCUCUGCAGCUCCUUCCAAACAAAGAGGGAUCUCUGGGCCGCCCUCCAUCCACCACCUCCCCUCGGUGGAAGCCUGCCCACGUCUUUUUGUGCAAAUCCUUCCCUCUCGGAUGCUAUUUGAUGUCUUCAAAGGGGCUAUUCUUAUGUGGAGAAAAGAGGGCGAGCUCAGGUCUGACAAGGCUCUUCGCUCGCAGCGCAGCUAUUUUUUCACUCGGAAGAGUGCCAGUUUGGGAUUUCAAGACAAAAAAAGAAAUAAAUAAAAUACAUAUAUUCUCUUUUUCACA
ensembl:lncRNA